rnacentral:rRNA from 1 species
GACGUAGGGCGCGAGCGUUGUCCGGAUUUAUUGGGCGUAAAGAGCUCGUAGGCGGCUUGUCGCGUCGACUGUGAAAACCCGCGGCUCAACCGCGGCCUGCAGCCGAUACGGGCAGGCUAGAGUUCGGUAGGGGAGACUGGAAUUCCUGGUGUAGCGGUGAAAUGCGCAGAUAUCAGGAGGAACACCGGUGGCGAAGGCGGGUCUCUGGGCCGAUACUGACGCUGAGGAGCGAAAGCGUGGGGAGCGAACAGG